CUCUUCCUCCUCAUCUUCUUCUUCUGAUGUUUUCGCCUCAUUUCAUCCUUACAAAGUUCUGGUUCUGGUUCAGUUCUGGUUCUUUAUAAUCCAUGACAGAGUUUUUAGUUUUAAGGUUCUUCUGUCUGUCCCCCAAAGAUUCUUCUCCUCCAGUCUUUCUCUUCAUAAUCUGAAGGUUUGAUAAUCUGAAGGUUUGAUAAUCUGAAGGUUUGAUAAUCUGACUUCAACCCGGUUUUUGAGAGUCCAGCAGCAGAUCCACCUG